rnacentral:rRNA from 1 species
ACGCUCGACACCUACGGGAGGUAGCAGUGGGGAAUAUUGGGCAAUGGGCGAAAGCCUGACCCAGCAACGCCGCGUGAGGGAAGAAGGUUUUCGGAUUGUAAACCUCUGUCCUCAGGGACGAAGGACGUGACGGUACCUGAGGAGGAAGCCCCGGCUAACUACGUGCAAGCAGCCGCGGUAAUCUGAGCGGGCUGGCAAGGC